UCGGAUAUGGUGUAACGGCUAACAUUGCCGCCUCUCAUCAUUGCAGUCCGCGGCAGCUCGGGGUUCGAUUCCCCGUAUCCGAA